GCUGUUCCAACUCUGAUAAAAAUUAGAUUUAAAAUUACAUUAUAAGGAUAUGAAUAAAUUGUGGUGAAUAUAUUUAGUGGAAGACUACACUGUAGAGAAAACAAAAAUCUAGAGACAGUCAAUACCUAUGUGUCUUGCAAGCACAAUACAGGACAGAAUGUUAAAUGGCAUAAAUAUGCAUGAUAAUAUUUAUGUUGAGUUUAUAAACAAGAAACCCAAUAUCAUACUGUCUCACAGAUGCUGGACUGAGGAUUGCUGGAACACUCUUUUAUCAAAGAAUAGGCCCCUCUUCUGUCCCUCUAAUCCUUGAGUUAGGGCAUCAGAUAAUUCAUGAUAAAUGUGUGAUGGUUAUAAAUUUGAAAUGAGGACCUUAGGAGAUCAAACUUACAAACUGAUUGGUGUGACUGGUGCUAAGAAUGAUCUUGUCUGAAAUCUGUCCCAGAGUCCACUGACCAUCUAAAAUCAUAACCAAAUAAGAGACAGUUAAUGAACAAAUCACUGUCCCGUCAAAGAUACAAACAGGCUCUAGCAUCCUUUCUAGCACAGUCACAUCAGUAUGGAGCACAGACUCUCUGUGAAGGCACUCUCUAGGCAUUUCUGCAAACUCAGGGCUUGGUUUCUGAGUCACUCUGGGUCUGUCUCCACUCUACACUUUGAUUCCCUUUUCUAACUUGUUUUCUCCCAGCUGGAAUCUGCCUCAGAUCCACCUCCUUCAGCCCCAAGCCUCUGUGAAAAGUCUGGUUUCAGUUUCAUCCAGUUACUGCCCUCAGGUCCACCUUAGUGCCCCUUUCCAGCCCAGCCUAGCUCCUAAGUUCUGAACCUCAUUUUUCCUGGGGAGGAUUUUGGAUGCUAAUAUAAUUUAACACUUAGGAAAAAUAUAAUGUUGAAACCAAUUUUUGCAUGAUAUAAAAAUAUUUUGAAGUAGUUGAGAGAUCCUCACAAAUAGAUGGAACCAUAAAAAAUUUUGUUUGUCCUUUAAUUGAUCUGAAUUUCUAUGUGAAAAUCCCAGGUUUGAUUUUUUAUAUUG
rnacentral:lncRNA from 1 species